UAAACUACAAUAUAAUGGAUAGAGAAUGGGAGUGGGGAGCAAAUCCCCUUGCCUAAUAGUAAUGUAGCUAGGUGUGACCCUUUAUUUCAAGUCAACAAAUAUAUGCAGCCAUAUGCUCAGUGUUACAACAUAGGCAAGUGAGGGCAGGGGAAUCAAACUCACAAUUUAUGUUGGCUACUGCCCAUCUCUGAAAGGACAGUAGCCAAUAGUUCAUAGAGCACAUUGUGAUAGGAAAUUUUUUCAGUACAAACAUUUAGACCAGUUCUAAUCACUAAAGCACCAUCAGCAUUUAUAAGGCCAUACUGUCUUUUACCCUGGGCACUCUGGCAAUGUAAAGAAGCCUCAAAACUUUUACACCUGUUUUAUACUCCUGGGGAAAUUCACAAAGACAAUGGGAACACUAAGCAGGCAGGCUCCAACAUUCUGCUCUGCCUGAGGGGACAGAGCCUGUCCCAUGCCUUCCUCCUCAGAAACAUCCCGUAGCCCUGCCCCUCCAUGCUGAUUGUGCUGCAAUAGCGAGUGAGAGGGACAGAGUGUCCCUCUCUCUCUCUCACAUGCAUCCCCCUCCCGGCAGUGAUUUACAUCUCUACCGGCUCCUCUGAGCGCUCAAACUGACCUGCCUGCACUGCUGGGGAGGGGCACAUAACUGGUCUUCUGGCUUCCCUUUGCUUCCCUGCCAGAAGCCAUUUUUCUGUGGAGAAGCAAAGAAAUCUGCAGGGGACAUGAAUUCUGUGCACGCACAGUGACGCAAAAUUCCCCCAGGAGUAAACAAUUCCUGGUAUUGUAGGUUCCACUGCCAGAGAAGUGAGUACAAUAGGAAUUCUGAAGGCAAUGGAACACAGCAGCCGUCAACUGUAGGGCAGUUACUCUGCAAAAGGAGCCUCUUGCUUUCAGAAUACAUCCUUUUAAAAUAUUAAUAUUUAUAUAUUAUACUCAUUGCAUUUAAAAACAGGACGUUGCACAGUAAUGUAAUGUAAAAAUUCCAGCCCACUGGGACUGAAACUAGAGACAUACUUUUUUUUCUCUUAGUGCUCUCAUGUUUUCAUCAUACACUCCAAGGCAAGAUCCAGGUUCUGCAGUCCUUAUGUAAGCAGUCACAUUCACUGAUGGAGGCAAGCUUCUUACUCUACUGUAAAGAUGGAACUGAAUCUAUACCCUACCUCUCAAAAAUACAAGCAUUGGCAUAUGUUGGAAUCUGAAUCUUAAUAUCAAGGCUGACCUGAACUCUGUAAUGGACCAAACCAAAACCCCAGAGCUGAAUACACCCGCAUCCCAAGCCUUAAAAUGUUCAAAAUCCAGAUCUGAAUCUUUCAGCUCAGGCCCAUCUCUACUCUAAAGCUAGUAACUUACUAGCUGCUUAUGGUUCAUUGUGAGUAAUUUUUAACGCAUAGGGCUUGAUCCUACUAAGUGGUGAGAGUCCUCAACAUCCACUGACUUAAGGUGAGAAUGAUAACUAUUAUUUCAGUGAUGCUUCUGUCUCCUUAUCCCACAAAUACUACAGUAUAAUGGCUACUUUCGAAUGAUAAGAAAAAUAAGAGACUAACUUCAAUACAUGCACAACUAUUUGAUGCCAUGAUAUAAAUGUCUCAAAUUUGGAGAAACAUGAAUUGGAAAAAACAGAUGCUAAAGCCUCAAAUUUUAAGACUUCUUGAAUUUCUGUACAAAUGUCUGGUAUUAAAAUCAAAUACAAGUAAAAGCAAAGGGAAAAUUGUAAUAUAUUUACAGAAUCUGUAAUAUAAAAAGAUGCAGUCAUUUUCUCAAACUGUGUAGUAUUGUUGUAAUAGCAUCAUGAAAGAAAUCAAGCAGUAUAUUUUUAGGAGGAAUCUUUUAUUUGUUUUUAAGCAGAACGAUUCAUUGGGUGUCUUCAAAUGCUGUUUCUGAUUGGUUAUGUUUUGAACACUACUCUCUGUUAAUACUAAAGAAAUAUGACCUUUGGCAUUCCUUUAUCAAUAGUUUCUCUUUGAAUUCAGAGAAGGGAUGGAAGUGUGCCAGGUUUACAAACAUACCAGUUAAAAAAGAUAGUGCUUUAAUGAAACCUUAAGUUAUUAUUAAAUAUUUGUGCCUUUAAAAAAACCACAAUCGUUAAUAACAAACAAGAUGUGCCUGUAAUUUUAUUUAAAUAAAACUGAUUUAUGCAUUGC